UACAGAGGGGGCAAGCGUUGUUCGGAAUUACUGGGCGUAAAGGGCGCGUAGGCGGCCCGCUAAGUCGAACGUGAAAUCCCCGGGCUCAACCCGGGAACUGCGUCCGAUACUGGCGGGCUUGAAUCCGGGAGAGGGAUGCGGAAUUCCAGGUGUAGCGGUGAAAUGCGUAGAUAUCUGGAGGAACACCGGUGGCGAAGGCGGCAUCCUGGACCGGUAUUGACGCUGAGGCGCGAAAGCCAGGGGAGCAAACAGG
rnacentral:rRNA from 1 species